rnacentral:tRNA from 1 species
GCUGUGGCUCAAUGGUAGAGUGCUUGCCUAGCAUGUGUGAGGCACUGGGUUUGAUUCUCAGCAACA